AACACCCAGAUAGAAGGGAAGGGGGAAGGGCUAGGGGGAUGUUGGCCUGGAAAGCGGGAAAUGGAAUAAUAUUUGAAAUGUAAAUAAGAAAUACCCAAUUUAAUAAAGGUGGAAAAAAAAAGCAGAGCAUCAAUACUGCUGCUACAAAAUCAAAAAGGACUUGAACUGGGGGAAGAGGGUGUGCAUUUGUGAGAAAUUGUGGGAAGAGUAAAAGGUGAACAUUAUCAAGAUAUACAUAUACAAUUCUCUCAAAUUAAUAAAAUAUAAAAUAAAUAAAUAAGUAAGUAAAAAUAAAUAAUAAAAUAAAAAUGCGUAAGUUAUGAACAAGAAAAAAAGAUGAAAUCCUAAGUAGAAAUUGUCAUUGUGAACUGAUAUUCAUGUAGGGAAAUUGUCUUAAGGGUUAAAAUUACAUAGAGAUGAAAAAGACUACUGCGAUUAUAGAAGAUGAAUCUUUUGAAAUUUACCAAGAAGAUGUGAUAAUUUCAAAAGUUUAUACAUUUUUUAACUUUGAAGUAGACAAAGCUAAAUUUGUUCCGGAGUUUCUCGAAUAUAUUGCUAAAUCUGCCAUCACUGCAGAUUUUGUAUUCUUGUGUUUGUUUGUUUUGUUGUUUGAUUGAUUUUCCCCUAUUGAAAUUAAAAUUUUUUCUCAUACAAUAUAUCCUGAGUAUAGUUUCUGCUCCCUUCACUCUUCUUAGUCCUUCCCUCUCCCCUCCCAGCCAGAUCCACUCCCUUUCUGUCUCUCAUCAGAACAGAACAAGCUUCUAAGACAUAAUACAACAAAAUUAAAACAUAAUAUAAAACAAAAAAAAACCUAUCGCAUUGAAGUUGGACAACACAAACAUACAGAAGGAAAAGAGUGCAAUAUUGGGCAUAAGAAUCAGACCCACUCAUUCACACACUCAGGAGUUCAACAAAAAUACUGAAAUGGGGCUAUACUAGAGGACCUGGUGCAGACUUGUGAAGGCCACAUGCUUGCUGCUUCAGUCUCUGUUAGCGCUUAAGAAAUGUGCUCAACUGAUUUAGAUGGAUUUAUUCUCCUGGUGUCCUCCUUCCUCUCUGGCUCAUACAUUCUGCCUCUUCUUCCACAGGGUUCUCUGAGCUCAGAGGUAAAGGGAUUUUACGGAGAUAUUUUAUUUAGAACAGCGUGUUUCAAAGUCUUUUUUCCUGCAUUAUGUCUGGCAAUGAGUCUCUGACUUCGUUUCCAUCUGAUGCAGGAGAAAGCUUCCUCACUGAUGGCUGAAUAAGGCAGUGGUCUAUGAGUAUAGCAGAAUAUUAUUUGGAGUCAUUUUAUCACUAAGUUUUUAGGUAGGUCUCACACUAUACCACAAUAUGGCCUUAAACUGGGGUCCACCCCCUGCCUCAGCCUCCCAAGCUUGAGGAAAGAAUGAAUUAUUUAUUACUUAUAUAUCAUGGUGGAAACUACAUAAAAAGGAAUGUAGAAAACCUGGAAAUCACAACUAAUAACCCUGAGCUACAAAAUUUGGUAAAGGUUUGCUGUUAAAAUUUAGCAAUAACAGGCUUUUCUCUGGCCCAUGUCUACUUGGUCGCUUGUUCUUUCCAUUUUAUAACUUAGUUAUACCUAAUUUAAAAAAGAUGAAAUAUAUUCGUAUAUUUGAAAGUGGAUACGUUUCUAAAAUACCCCAAAGUUAAAGCAGAAACCACAAUGGAAAUUACUGAAGGCUGAUAAGAAAGUGUACCCAUAAUACUUGUGGGAUAGAGCAGAGGUGAGAAUUCUCACAUUUAUCUUUCAGGAAAUUUUUGUCUUUAAAUCUGCAUAAAAUAAAGACCUCUAAAUUAGGGGGUCGAAUGUCUGUUAAAAGAAGUUUAAAAAAACAUGACAGAAUUUAUGUCCGGGUCACAAUUCUGAAGCAUGAAUAUUCUUAAUAUCUUUUAUAAAACAUUAAGUUGUUAUAGAAGUAUGGAUUUAUUUCUAGAACCUCUAUUCUAUUACCUUGGUCUAUAUAUCUGGAUUUUUUGUUUGUUUGCUUGCUUGCUUUUGUUUUGUAUGCCAGAAUCAUGCUUUGUAGCUUUGCAGCAGAGUUUGAGAUGUGGUAUUAUAAUACUUCUCUACUUAAGAUUGCAUUAACUAUUCCUCCCAUAUGAAUCUUAGAAUGACCUUACUAGUUUCAUGAAACAUAUCAUUAGAAAUUUAAUGAGAAGUGUGUGAUUCUGUACACCACUUUUGAAAAAUGUUAUCUAAUAUAUUUCAAUCACAUUUCCCCUCCCUUAACUUUUCCCAGUUCUUCUUCACUUGUCUACUCUCCUAGAAUCAUGUUCUUCCUUAAAUAAAAAGUAAAACAACAAUCAAGCAAAGAAGUGCAGGCCGACAGGAACCGGAUGUAGCUCUCUCCUGAGAGACACAGCCAGAAUACAGCAAAUACAUAGGCAAAUGCCAGCAGCAAACCACUGAACUGAGAAUGGGACCCCCGUUGAAGGAAUCAGAGAAAGGCCUGGAAGAGCUUGAAGGGGAUCGAGACCCCAUAUGAACAACAAUGCCAACCAAUCAGAGCUUCCAGGGACUAAGCCACUACCCAAAGACUAUACAUGGACUGACCCUGGGCUCCAACCUCAUAGGUAGCAAUGAAUAGCCUAGUAAGGGCACCAGUGGAAGGGGAAGCCCUUGGUCCUGCUAAGACUGAACCCCCAGUGAACGUGAUUGUUGGGGGGAGGGCGGUAAUGGGGAGAGGAUGGGAAGGGGAACACCCAUAUAGAAGGGGAGGAGGAGGGGUUAGGGGGAUGUUGGCCCGGAAACCGGGAAAGGGAAUAACAUUCGAAAUGUAAAUAAGAAAUACUCAAGUUAAUAAAAAAAAUAAAUAAAUAAAGAAGUGAAACGCUAAUUAUACAGGAAAAAAAAAACCAAAAAUCACCAAAACAAACUAACAAAAAAGCAUAUAAAAACAUGGAAUUUAUCUUUUUAGUCAACUCUUUCUAAGUUUGGGACAUACCUGGGAAUUUGGUUGAUAUAUCCAGUGACACUCCAUUGGAGAACUCUGAUUUCCACUGUCCAAAAAGUAUCAAUUAGAAAUAUCUUCUAAAUAAAGGAUAUGGCUUUCUGUCUACUUACACUAUGCUGUGCUGGGAUUUUAUCUGGUUUAAAUGUGUAUAGGUCUUAUCCAUGCUGUCUCAGUCUCUGUCAGUUAAUAUAUAUCAAUCCUAUUGUGUGUGAAAAACGCUGUUUUCUCGGAGUUGUUCACCACUUCUGCCUCUUUUCCCACCUUCUCCUUUGUUUAAUCCUCAAGUAUUGACAAUAGGGGUUCGAUAAAGACACUUUAUUUUGAGUUUAGUGUUUCAAAGUCUCUCACUCUUUGUAAAUUGUCCAGUUGUGGGCCUCUGCCAAUCACUAUCUGCUAUGAAAAGUCACUUCUAUGAUGAGGGCUAAACUGAUGAUGUAAAAUUUGUGUAGGUAUAGAAAAAGUAUCAUUUGGAAUUAUUCUAUGUUAUGUUCUUCAGCAGAAUAAUAGUAGUAGGUUUUACUGUAGGAUCCAUGAUCUAUAAAGGUCCUUGACCACUCUAACAGUGUCAGGUAUGGGUUCCAUCUUAUGAAGUGGACCUUAAAUGUAUUUUUUAAAAAGUGGCUGAUUAAUUCCAUACCAUUUAUGCCAUUAUUAUACCAAUAUAUCUUAUAGUCUCUUGUAACUAAGUAACAUUUAUGAUUCCUCUUCUUCUCUGGUAAUAUGCAAAACAACUUGUGUCACCAUGAGCUCUGUGUGGGUAAAGCAGAGAACUGCUUUGGCACCAGUUCAAUCUCUUCAUAAUCAAAUACAUGUGUAAAUCACUGUCUUCAGCAAUAGGGCCUUACCAUCAGGAAAAGUGACAAAUAUCCUUGGCAAAAUUAUAUGAUGUUUGGGGAAAUUUAUGGAAAACUUUUGAUCAAUGAAAUGUAACCUACUCCUAGAACUGUUGUAGUUACUGGGGGCAUUGUCUUCCCUAUUAUACAGUGACUCCAUUUAAAUUCAUUUCACGUAUGUAUAUAUUUUAGGAUAUUCUACAGCGAUACGUUUCCAUAUGGCUUUCCAAAAGGCCUUUACUGUUAGUUGUCCCUUCUCAUAUUCCCUUCUUUCCCAUUCUCCUUCCUCAUCUGACUCUCCUCAGAACGCUCUGGUUUAUUUUCACUUCCAAUAGAAUUACCACAGAGGGACCAGGGGUCAGGAGAGGAUCGUCCAAUGAUGGAAAAGUAGAAUUCUCUGUUAAUAAAAAUAUUUUUCUAACAUUGCUUCUGCUACUCUGUGAGCAUGACAGACCUCUCAUCUUAGAGAUGAGGUAAGACUGUAGUCACUGUAGUUCCAGCCUGAAAGACCUGCAUGCAUGAGAGAAAAAGGCAUGAAGGAUGGUAUAUGAACAGAAAAACUAUUAGGCUGAGACCAAAUUUCCAUCUCAGUUAAUCUAUAAAAUAGAUCACACAAUCAAACAUUCCCCCUAAGCCUUAAGAUUUAAUGUGUGGCUUGGUUUAACUUAGGAAAUAGAGUACUUUUUCUUAUUUUCCCUAUUUGUAACAAGAAUGGUUGUGCUAUAUCUAUCUCCCCACUUUAUUUUAGAAACAUAGAACUUGUUUUGUUUUAUAGCUUCAUAACUUGGGAAGAAUUGGAUGGGGAGUGGAGCAUCCCUUGAGUUUCGCCCACACAUGAGGAGACUGUUGGCUUUAGUUUUUUAUAAGUUGGUGCUAUAAUACGAGUUGUACAGUUAUGAUAAUGAAAUAGACAUAUUUUAUGUUGUAAAAGAGCAUGAAUUUGGGGGAGAUCUUGGGUGGAAUAUCUCUAUUAUUCUAAAAUUCAUGUUGUAAUCUAAAUCUAAAAGACCUACAUAAAAGUGAUUAAGUCAUAUGGGGAAAAACAUUUACAAAUACAUUUAGUUGCCAAAUGGCAUACUAAGAUAGUAACAGUGUGUUUUGAUCCUUCAAUGCAUAAGGCAAUUGAGUCUACUUCACUAAAAUUUCAAGAGCUAAGAAGCCCGCUUAUAAACAGUACUGAUAUCCAGGGUCAUGCUAAAUCUAGCUUAGUCCGUGGUUACAUUGGAGGUUCCAGCUGAAAUUAGAAAAGUAGCACAAUUUAGAUUAAGUUCAAAUUAAAAGUAACAUAAUUGUUAUUAAAUUCAUAUAUAAGACACAGAAGGUUUGAAAACAUGUAAAUCCCAAAAGGAUCCUCAAAUUUCAAAGAGAAGAAAGGAAAAGUAAGAGAAUUUAUAUGAAUCGAUUUAGUAAUUUGUGAGUUUUGUACUCAGUGUUUAUGUCGAUAGAAAGUGUACCUUUCCAUUGCAAAAACAUAUUCAGAAACACACACACACACACCACCACCACCACCACCACCACCACCUGCCUUACAAUAAGGCUUCUUUGAUCUCAUCUCAGAAUUGCUUUAUUUAGGCCUCAUUUGCUGGCACCAAAUCUUGUACCAUACAUCCCUGGUAUGAAGGCCCUAUAAAGCACGGUAUUUCAGACUAAAUUCAUCGUAAAGCUACUUUAACAUUCAGUGCCAAACAUUUAACCACCCACCUCCUUCCUGAAAAUUUAAAUAGUGAGUCAUUGGUCUACAACCUGAUGAAAGUGAAGUUUUGUUUCCUGUGUACCCUGAGAGAAUAAGAAGACAGAUCAAGCUAACUUUCACUUCAUACCAGGGGAACUAUAGUCCCAAGUAUGCUGACAAAAUAGUCACCGAUUUCCUCAGCUUAGCUUGCUUUAUUGUAUAAGACCCUUUAUAUAUUUGAACUCAGUGUGUGUGUGUGUGUGUGUGUGUGUGUGUGUGUGUGUGUGUGUGUGUGUGCGCACACGUGUGGUAUGUUGUGAUGUACAGGUGUGUGUACAAGUAUGUGGAAUGUUGUGAUGUGUGCAUUGAUAAUCAUAAUUGUCUAUUAUUUUAGAAUAACCAAACAUAUUAUUCAUUCUCUAGAUCUUCUAUAGUAUAUUUUGUUUGUGCUCUAUAUUAAAGGCAAUAUUAAUACUGAUUGUUGCUGAACCAACACCAAUUCUGGCAAAGCCUAAUAUUUCACUUUUACUUCCAGGCUACAAUGAGCUAAUUCUCAAUUCUGAGAAUUGAAAUUGACUUCUGAACCAUCACGAAGACUUUAGAAGUUUGUGGCUUAAGUGCUCGGGAUAGAAUUCAGGGCCUUACACAUCCUUAGUAAGUACUCUGCAACUAAGCCACACUCCCAACCUCUGUUCAAAUCCUUUCUAAAUAUUUUUAUUGGUUAUUUUAUUUACUUACAUUUCAAAUAUAAUUCUCCUUCCCAGUUUUCCUUCCACAAACCUGCUAUCCCUUCUCCUUCCCCACUGACUCUAUGAGGGUGUUUCCCACUUGCCCACCCACUCCUGCCUCAGCACCUUAGCAUUCCCCUACCAUGGGUCAUUAAGCCUUCACAGGACUGAGGCACUUCCUUCCCAGUGAUGUUCCAUAAGGCAAUCCUAAGUUACAUGUCCAGCUGGAGCCAUGGGUUCCCCCACGUGUACUUUUGGGUUGAUGGUUUAGUCCCUGGGAAUUUGGGGCAUCUGGUUAGUUGAUAUUGUUGUUCUUUCUGUGGGGUUGCAAUCCCCUUCAGCUCCUUCAGUCCUUUCUCUAACUCUUAUAGAUUUUAUAGAUCACUAAAGUUAAGGCAGUCUCAAUGUACAGUUGCAAAAUGAAAUGUAUACUUACUAUACAAUUAGAGCUCUCCAAAGGAAAAUCAAUAGUGUUAAUGUCACUGUAUAAUAUGUGCUAAACUCUUUUUUUUUUCAAGAAAGAAGGAUGAUUGUGAAAGUCCAGGGCUCUUUCUCAUAUGAUCCAUCUAACAAUGACAAGUUGGUAGGACAAACAUGCUAGCUACUCCCAAGCCUGGUUGUCGUAGAGCACUUUGUAGAAAUAUUAAUGACAUCCUGGACAAAUUCCAGGAAAUCCCACAGUCAUUGUCUCCAGCAGGAGGACCACUCAUGCUAAAUAUAGUAUUCAAUUGCUAAAGCUUAAAGAAGAAUUAAGAUUAUAGUGGUUUGUAGCAAAGAAUGCAUUUUCUGUUUUUGGUAAGAAGUAGGUUGGCACAUGGCUAAUAAAAUUGUUCAAGAAAGAAA